rnacentral:misc_RNA from 1 species
UCCGAGUUGACCCCGGCAGUCUCCUAUGAGUCCCCGGCAUAACCCGCUGGCAACAUAGAACGAGGGUUGCGCUCGUUGCGGGACUUAACCCAACAUCUCACGACACGAGCUGACGACAACCAUGCACCACCUGUGCACGACCCUUGCGGACCCCCCAUCUCUGGAGGAUUUCCCUGCAUGUCAAGCCUUGGUAAGGUGGGGAUGACGUGUGCGUAACAGAA